ensembl:misc_RNA Metazoa_SRP Metazoan signal recognition particle RNA
GCUGGGCGUGGUGGUGUGCGCCUGUAGUCCCAGCUACUCGGGAGGCUGAGGCAGAAGAAUCGCUUGAACCCGGGAGGCAGAGGUUGCAGUGAGCCGAGAUUGCGCCACUGUACCCCAGCCCGGGUGACAGAGUAAGACUCUGUCUCAA